rnacentral:antisense_RNA from 1 species
AUUAUACUUACAAAAGUCUCCGAAAAGUCCUUGGAGUUACGCAAUUUGGGGCCCGCAGACGCGCGUGGACACAAAAACACACGCUCCCGAGAUCCACCCUCCCCGGGCCACACUGCGGGGCUGCGUCCGGGGCACGGGCCAUGCCUGAACCUUCCACCGCCGCGCCCCGGGCCCGCGCCCCGCCGGCCGCCCGCACUGGGUCCCGGGUCGCCCCCGCCACCACACCGAGCCGCCCAGUACCUCCUCCUCCUGAAGGCAGAGCUGGGGGUCCGUACGGAGGAACUUCAGAGGCUGGAAGCACGCUUGAAAAAGAAAGGGGGCCUGGGCUUUGCACCAGCUUCAGGAUUGCGUACUUGUUUCCUCAUCCGUGAAAUGGGAGCAGCUGAAUGUGUCUCCUCGAGUUUUCGAGGGGAACAAACAUGUAUCCUGGAUGAAAAUAAACCAAGUCUAUUGAAACUGCAACCCAAGACAUUCAGAAGAGACAAGGCUACAGUGAAUCUGGAAACUUUGCACGUGUUUGGAUGUAUUGAUUGCCUUAACUGGCAGCCCUUUGCACUGCCAGCUUCCCUCAAUUACAUGAGGAACCACGAGGGGGCAAUGUCUUCCCGAGCAAUAAUAGCUGAGUGGUGGUCUUAGGACCCCGUGGUGGCCCAUGAUGCUAGCACCGUGUCUUUGGCCAUUCUUGCCUGUCAUGGAGCAUACUCCACAGAAGGGCAUGGUCUUCUUGGAGCCUGGCAUGGGCCCAACAAAAAUGACAAUGUAGUCAAUAGUUCCACUCAGACCUCACUUAGGAGCAGGUGGACUAUGUUGUGUGAUAUCAGGAUGCCCGGAGAACCUCUCCUAUCCCCACCCAGGGAAGCAUGGCUUAAUUCCAAAUAAAGAAUCUGAUUUCUUUGUCUUUAAGCCAA